UCAUUUACGGGUCUUACAUACACUCACUCCAUGAUGCAUUGUUCGUUAAGCUUUACCGCCCUACUUGCUAAAGCAUUAAGCAGGUCUUAAUUUUGUUCUCUCUUCUUCGUCUCCACAAAACUUCCGGCAAAUCAUCAAUGGCGGAUACCAGACCAAUUGAGGCGUUAGGUUUUUAUUCGUCUAUUGCUUCAUCCUCUUAAGGUUGAAGAGAAGUCCUCCGCCACUGUUCGCCGAUAGUAGCCCUAACACAAUUGAUUCUCAGAAACUAGUUGCCGCAUUUGCUUAUGAGGGGAUAUUGAGUGUAAGCUGCAGUUUAUUGAUGGGACUAGAUCAAAUAAUAUACGUAGAAGGCUUCUAUUGAAGUUAUUUAGAAAUCCAAAGCAGGACAAACUGUUGGAGAUUAUCUUCUGUCUCAAAGAGUGGACAAGCUGCAAUGCCAAAAUUAUCCUAAUUUCUAGAAGCCACCUGGAUGAGUUUUGAAUUGCUUGGGGAUAAUUGCUUUUUGAGGUGUAUGGUGAGUCAGGAAACUCCGGAUUGAAGUUAUGGGGAGGCUGAUAACUGGUAAAAUCCUUAGUCCAUUAACUCAACAGUACUACAUUGGCGGGUUGUCAACUUGUCAAUCCAAAACAUUAGCUGCGUUGGAGAACUUAAAUUCAACCGUAGAAGCAAGUUAAUGUUUGCCUGAUAGUUUUUUAUGUCUACUCAUUUCUUAUGAGAAUUGGCUAAGCUUAUGUUUGCCUAGCAUUAUCUUUCGUUUCCCCACCUAGUUUAGAAUAAUUCCUCUGUAACAACAGGUACUAAUUAUUUGUAUCAAUGACAUGAACAUUCAUAUUAUACCUCAAUUUAAAAUUAAAAAUCAUGGUUAUAGUAUAAUUUGAAUUAGUAACGUGAUAGUUAAAUUGAGGUUGUAGAGAACAAUUCCUUUCCUUAUAUUAUAUUUACAAUGCCUUCAUUUUCAAUUUGUUGGCAUUUUGGGUAUAUUUUUUUCCCUAUUCCAAAAGGUUUUUUGCCCCUCUUUUUUUUUUACGUAGUAAUUUUUUUUUUUUUUUUAAUACUUCUAUAUAGUCUUUUCAUUUAUUCAUUAAAUAAGGCAAGUAGGUUUAUACUAUUCACACGUGCUUACUGAUUAAAGUACUACGUAUUUAUUAUCAAUAGAUUAUUGCUGCUGCUAAAAUUUAAUUCAUUCUACACAUUUUCCUAAAAUACGUAGGGUAUAUUCUUGGUUAAAGUGUGUUACCAUAAGUUUAAGGGAUUACACUAACCAUGGUGAUUG